CGCCGCACUUUCCUCCUUUUCUGAGCUGGGUUUUGGUGUUUGUACCUUCGGAGGCACUGCUAGGAUACGCCAUUCACCUGUAGAGAAGACCGUUGAUUUCGUCCCUGGUGACGCGGGGAACCGGGCCUCUGCCCUUCCCUGAGAGGGAGCCCAGGUGAUGGCAGCCAUGCCCGUGACAGCCCAGCACCAGGAUACUUAGUUCCUAAACCUGCCCUGAUCUCUCUUCUGGAGGGAGGGGAUUUUCCUUGGGACCUGGAGGCACAAAAUGAUCCAC
rnacentral:lncRNA from 1 species